GCCGUAGCUUAAUAGCAGAGCAUCUUCCUUGCGCUCAGAAGGUCCCAAGUUCAAUCCAUGGCAUCUCCA